AUAGGUGACAUGAAGACUAUAAUGACAUGGCCCUAGACCAGGGGUGUCAAAAUUACGGCCCAGUGGGUGACGGCGAGGAAAUCAUUGUAAAAAAAAAUUAGUGCGGCCAUCCGGACCUAGUUGAAGACUGAAUGCAGCUUGACACCCCUGCCCUAGACAUUGUCUUGAUGUAUUUAGUUAAAAGAUCACAAUAAGUGUCUUAUCCCAGCUUAUGAAGAAGAUGCCCCACUUCCGCAAGCAGGUGACUCAGGACCUGGCAGUAGGGUCUGAUGUGGAGGGUCAGAAGGUGAAGGACCCGAUGAGGACACUGCUUCCUGUGCUGCUGCAUCCCCACGACAUCUACGACAAGAUCAGAGCUGUUCUCCUCUACAU